rnacentral:tRNA from 1 species
CGGGGCGUAGUACAACGGUUAGUAUGCAAGGCUGGGGGUCUUGUGAUCUGAGUUCGAUUCUCAGCGCCCCGACCA